AUCUUUUCAAUCAGUUAUUGAUCUUAUAUUGUCUUUUAGGUAGUUUAUAGUCUGUGUAUUAGUGUAUCAGUACCGUAUAUACUCGUAUUGAAUCAGUUGGCAUGGUAUUGGAUGAUGUCAGUACAGGGAGGAUCACGUGAUAGGUCACAUGACUUGAUAUCAACUGCCGUUCCUUGUGUGAACGGGUGCGAGUGUCCCUGGCACCCACUUCAAGUAUUAUCCUGGGGUGUUGUCCUAUUCUUGAGUCUAAUGCAUUAUGGGUUCAUUGUGUUCUAUUUCCCCUCAUACUGGAGGAUAAUGGGCUACACUGUAUCCUUUAUUAAUUAGGGGGUGGGGCUUAGCAAUGGGUGGAGCUUCACUAUUAAUAUUAUUA